GAUGAACGCCGGCGGUGUGCCUAAUACAUGCAAGUCGAACGGAGCUGUUUUCUCUGAAGUUUUCGGAUGGAAGAGAGUUCAGCUUAGUGGCGAACGGGUGAGUAACACGUGAGCAACCUGCCUUUCAGUGGGGGACAACAUUUGGAAACGAAUGCUAAUACCGCAUAAGACCACAGUGUCGCAUGGCACAGGGGUCAAAGGAUUUAUCCGCUGAAAGAUGGGCUCGCGUCCGAUUAGCUAGUUGGUGGGGUAACGGCCCACCAAGGCGACGAUCAGUAGCCGGCCUGAGAGGGUGAACGGCCACAUUGGGACUGAGACACGGCCCAG
rnacentral:rRNA from 1 species